rnacentral:rRNA from 1 species
UACGGAAGGGGCGAGCGUUGUUCGGAAUCAUUGGGCGUAAAGGGCGUGUAGGUGGUUCUGUAUGUCUGCCGUGAAAGCGUACGGCUCAACCGUAUUUAGUCGGUAGAAACUGCAGGACUUGAGGCUGGGAGGGGCUGGUGGAAUUCCCCGUGUAGCGGUGAAAUGCGUAGAGAUGGGGGAGAACACUCGUGGCGAAGGCGGCCAGCUAGACCAGUUCUGACACUGAGGCGCGACAGCGUGGGGAGCAAACAGG